UUUUCACAAGCCCUCCAGGUGUGCCUGAUGCAGUCUCAAGUUUGAGAACUGCUGGCUUUUACAGAACAUAAAGCGAAGGUUGAGCCCCAAGGGAGUGGUGGGAAGUUGCUCUAAGAAGAGACAAGGUGGCCCCUCUGGCCUGUGUGAGCGGAAGGCAGCUGCGCUGUGAGCAAGAUCUCGGGAGAUGAGAGUCUGAAGCUUAUGGUGAGAGCAGCGGCCCUGGUGGAAGCGUGGUAGCCCCUAGAAGGUCCAGGAUGGAACACAGAAGCUUUCCCUUGGGAUAUUGUGGCGUGUGGAAAGAAGAGGAACCAGAAAAGAAUGUUUGUGAAGUUCUGGCUUGAAUCUCGUGCCGGGAGUGUGAAGAAGGUCCUUGCUUCCCCUUCACCUUCUGCCAUGAUUCUAAGUUUCCUGACGCCUCCCAGCCGUGCUUCCUGUUAAGCCUGUGAAACUGCUCAUGUGGAAGGGACUUACCUUGUCUCAGAUGAGACUUUGGACUGUGGAUUUUGAGUUAAUGCUGGGAUGAGUUAAGACUUUGGGGGACUGUUGGGAAGGCAUGAUUGGUUUUGAAAUGUGAGAAGAACAUGAGAUUUGGGAGAGGCCAAGGGUGGAAUGAUAUGGUUCGGCUCUAUGUCCCCACCCAAAUCUCAUCUCAAAUUGUAAUCCUCACAUGUUGUGGGAGGGGCCUGGUGGGACGUGAUUGAAUCAUGGGGGUGGAUUUCCCCCUUGCUGUUCUCUUGAUAGUGAGUGAGUUCUUGCAAGAUCUGGUUGUCUGAAAGUGUGUGACAUGUCUCCCUUUGCUCUUUCUCCAUCCUGCCACCAUGUGAAGGAGGUCCUUACUUCCCCUUCACCUUCUGCCUUAAUGUUAAGUUUCCUGAGGCCUUCCAGCCAUGCUUUCUGUUAAGCCUGUGGGUCAAUUAAACCUCUCUUCAUAAAUUACCCAGUCUCAGGUAUUUCUUUAUAGCAGUGUGAAAAUGGGCUAAUACAGAGCAUAUCCUAGGCUAUAAAAUAAACCUAAAUAAACAUAACAUUUAAAAGAGUUGAAAUUAUACAGAGCAUAUUCUCUGAUCAUAAUGGAAUCGAGGUAGAAAUCAAUAACAGAAUGAUAACAGGAAGAUCUCUAGAUCGGUGGAAAUUAAACAACAUACUUCUAAAUCCUAAGGUCAAAGAGAAUGUCUCAAAAGAAAUUAACAAAAACCUAUAGAACUGAAGAAAAAUGAAAACAGAUAUCAAGAACACCUGAGAUGAAGUUAAAGCAGGGCUAAGUGAGAAAUUAUAGCCCUAAAUGUUUACAUUAUAAAUGAGGAAAGUUCUCAAAUGAAUAACCUACAUUCCUACUUCAAGAAAUUAGAAAAAGAAUAGCAAAAUAAACCCAAAGCAAGUAUAACAAAGGAAAUAAAGAUAAGGGCAGAAAUCAAUGAAAUGGAAAAUAGGAAAACAAUGGGGAAAUUAUGAAAUAAAGAGCUGGUUUUUUGAAAAAAAUCAAUGACGUUGAAAAAUAUCUAUGAUCGAGACCAUCCUGGCUAACACGGUGAAACCCCAUCUCUACUAAAAAUACAAAAAAUUAGCCGAGCAUGGUGGCAGGCUCCUGUAGUCCCAGCUACUUGGGAGGCUGAGGAAGGACAAUCACUUGAACCUGGGAGGCGGAGGUUGCAGUGAGCAGAGAUUGCGCCACUGCACUCCAGCCUGGGCAACAGAGUGAGAUUUUGUCUCAAAAAAAAAAAAGAAAAAAAAAAGAAAAAAAUCUCCAUGAAAGUUGACAAAAAUAAAAAGAAUGAAGGCACCAAUCACCAAAUUUGGAAUGAAACAGAGGAUAUCCCAACAGAUCCUGCAGAUAUUGAAAAGAUAACAAGGGAAUACUAUUAAUAAUUAUAUGCCCAUCAAUUUGAGAACUUGGAAGAAAUAGAUCAUUUCCUUGAAAAUGACAAACUACCAAAACUCAACCAAGGUAAAAUACAGUAGUCACUCCUUAUCUGUGGUUUUGUUUUCUGCUGUUUCAGUCAACUGUGGCUCAAAAAUGUUAAAUGGAAAACUGCGGAAAUAAACAAUCUAUAAAAUUUAGAUUGUGUGUCAUUCUGAGUAGCAUGAUGAAAUCUCUUACUGUCCUGCUCUUUGCAUCCAGGAUGUGAAUUCUCCCUUUGUCCGGUGUCUUGAUGAGUUGCACCACCACCUGUUGGUCAUUUAGUAGCUGUUUUCUCAGAUUGACUUUCGUGUUAUUAUAGUACUUGUGUUCCAGUUACCCUUAUUUUACUUAAUAAUGGCCCCAGAGUGCAACAGUGGUGAUUUGAAUAUGCCAAAGAGAAGCCAUAAAGUGCUUCCUUUAAAAAUGAAAUUAAAAAAUGAAAGUUCUCAACUUAAUAAAGGGAAAAAAUAAUAUACUGGGGCUGCUACAGUAAAAAUGAAUCUUCUAUCCUUGAAAUGGUGAAGAAUGAAAAAGAAACUCAUGCAUAGUAUAGAUAGGUAGAUAGGGUUCAGUACUAUCCUAGGUUUCAGACAUCCACUGGGGGACUUGGAACGCAUCCCCUGCAGAUAAAGAGGAAACACUGUAAAUAAUCCGAAUAUCCCUAUAACCAUUAACAACUUCUAAUUGAAUUUGUAAUUAAAUCAUCCUGAAAAAGAAAUGUCUGGGCCCAGAUAGUUUCACUGCAUCUGUGGGGGGUCCCCAAGACAAUCACCAGGUUCAGUGAUUCACUAGGAGGGCUCCCAGGGUCCUGCAUGUUGCCUCAUGCAUGUCUGAGAUUUAUUAACGGUGCAAAGAUACAGGGUGGGGUUGGCAAAGGGAAAGGCACGCUGGACAAAGUCUGGGAGACACAAGGUGCAGGUGUUUGAGUCACCUCCCAGUGGAGUCAAACAGGACAUUCUGAGUUUCUCCAGCAACGAGCUGCACCAGUAUGUGUGAAGAGUUGCCUGUCAGGGAAGCUCACCUGAGCCUUGGGUUCGAGGGUUUUUCCUAACCAUUGGGCAUGUAGGGCCCGUAGUGCCUGUGUGACUGACUGACAUCACUGACACUCCAGACACUCACAAGGAAAGCAGUAGUUCAGCAUAAUCACAUUAUGCUAGCAGUCUAGGUACAAUGAGUCACUCUUAUCAUUUAGGGAAAGUGUUACAUCACCAUAGGGAACUACCUUUCCAGCCACAUUCUCUCAUACCAGCCAAGGGUAAACCUUGCAAGAGACCCUUUGUAAGGACGGCAGUUCCAGAUCUGCUAUGCUAUUUUCUCUACACUGAAGAACUUUACAAACCAACUAAAGAAUUAACACCUAUUUUACAUAAUCUCUUCCAGAAAACAGAAGAGAAGGGAAUACUUCCCAACUCAUCUUUUGAGGCCAGUAUUAACUGAUACCCAAACCAGACAGUCAAUACAAAAAGAAACUACAAAGCAAUAUUUCUCAUAAACUUAGAUGUGAAAAUCCUCAACAAAGUAUUAGGAAACUGAACCCAAUGAUGUAUAAAAGGAAUUAAAUGCCAUGACCAAGGUGGGGUUCAUUUCAGGUGUG
rnacentral:lncRNA from 1 species